rnacentral:rRNA from 1 species
UACAGAGGUCUCAAGCGUUGUUCGGAUUCAUUGGGCGUAAAGGGUGCGUAGGCGGCGCGGUAAGUCGGGUGUGAAAUCUCGGGGCUUAACUCCGAAACUGCAUUCGAUACUGCCGUGCUUGAGGACUGGAGAGGAGACUGGAAUUUACGGUGUAGCGGUGAAAAUGCGUAGAUAUCGUAAGGAAGACCAGUGGCGAAGGCGGGUCUCUGGACAGUUCUGACGCUGAGGCACGAAG